rnacentral:rRNA from 1 species
CGAGUAACCUGCCCUUAACUCUGGGAUAAGCCUGGGAAACUGGGUCUAAUACCGGAUAUGACUCCUCAUCGCAUGGUGGGGGGUGGAAAGCUUUUUUGUGGUUUUGGAUGGGCUCGCGGCCUAUCAGCUUGUUGGUGAGGUAAUGGCUCACCAAGGCUUCGACGGGUAGCCGGCCUGAGAGGGCGACCGGCCACACUGGGACUGAGACACGGCCCAGACUCCUACGGGAGGCAG